rnacentral:rRNA from 1 species
AUCAACUAGCCGUUGGAUUCUUAAAGAAUUUUGUGGCGUAGCUAACGCGAUAAGUUGAUCGCCUGGGGAGUACGGUCGCAAGGCUAAAACUCAAAUGAAUUGACGGGGGCCCGCACAAGCGGUGGAGCAUGUGGUUUAAUUCGAUGCAACGCGCAAAACCUUACCUACUCUUGACAUCCAAAGUACUUUCCAGAGAUGGAAGGGUGCCUUAGGGAACUUUGAGACAGGUGCUGCAUGGCUGUCGUCAGCUCGUGUUGUGAAAUGUUGGGUUAAGUCCCGUAACGAGCGCAACCCUUGUCCUUAGUUGCCAACGCAUAAGGCGGGAACUUUAAGGAGACUGCUGGUGAUAAACCGGAGGAAGGUGGGGACGACGUCAAGUCAUCAUGGCCCUUAAGAGUAGGGCAACACACGUGCUACAAUGGCAAAAACAAAGGGUCGCAAAAUGGUAACAUGAAGCUAAUCCCAAAAAAAUUGUCUUAGUUCGGAUUGGAGUCUGAAACUCGACUCCAUAAAGUCGGAAUCGCUAGUAAUCGUGAAUCAGAAUGUCACGGUGAAUACGUUCUCGGGCCUUGUACACACCGCCCGUCACACCAUGGAAGUGAAAUGCACCAGAAGUGGCAAGUUUAACCAAAAAACAGGAGAACAGUCACUACGGUGUGGUUCAUGACUGGGGUGAAGUCGUAACAAGGUAGCUGUAGGGGAACCUGUGGCUG